GAUGAACGCUGGCGGCGUGCCUGAUACAUGCGAGUCGAGCGAACGGACGAGAAGCUUGCUUCUCUGAUGUUAGCGGCGGACGGGUGAGUAACACGUGGAUAACCUACCUAUAAGACUGGGAUAACUUCGGGAAACCGGAGCUAAUACCGGAUAAUAUUUUGAACCGCAUGGUUCAAAAGUGAAAGACGGUCUUGCUGUCACUUAUAGAUGGAUCCGCGCUGCAUUAGCUAGUUGGUAAGGUAACGGCUUACCAAGGCAACGAUGCAUAGCCGACCUGAGAGGGUGAUCGGCCACACUGGAACUGAGACACGGUCCAGACUCCUACGGGAGGCAGCAGUAGGGAAUCUUCCGCAAUGGGCGAAAGCCUGACGGAGCAACGCCGCGUGAGUGAUGAAGGUCUUCGGAUCGUAAAACUCUGUUAUUAGGGAAGAACAUAUGUGUAAGUAACUGUGCACAUCUUGACGGUACCUAAUCAGAAAGCCACGGCUAACUACGUG
rnacentral:rRNA from 1 species